CACGUAGGGUGCGAGCGUUGUCCGGAAUUAUUGGGCGUAAAGAGCUCGUAGGCGGUGUGUCGCGUCGGCCGUGAAAACCUGCAGCUUAACUGUGGGCGUGCGGUCGAUACGGGCAUCACUGGAGUUCGGCAGGGGAGACUGGAAUUCCUGGUGAUAGCGGUGAAAUGCGCAGAUAUCAGGAGGAACACCGGUGGCGAAGGCGGGUCUCUGGGCCGAUACUGACGCUGAGGAGCGAAAGCGUGGGGAGCAAACAGG
rnacentral:rRNA from 1 species